UGAGCCAUAGUGAAAUGGUAUCACGCUCAGUAUCCUGAGAAAUUGGUAAACUGAGAAGUACUGGUUCAAAUCCAGUUGGCUCAA
rnacentral:tRNA from 1 species